CCCGCUGAACUUAAGCAUAUCAAUAAGCGGAGGAAAAGAAACCAACAGGGAUUGCCUUAGUAACGGCGAGUGAAGCGGCAAAAGCUCAGAUUUGAAAUCUGGUGCCAUAAUGGCAUCUGAGUUGUAAUCUGUAGAGGAGUAUUCGAGUGUGGCUUUGGCUUAAGUUCCUUGGAACAGGGCGUCAAAGAGGGUGAGAACCCCGUUUGCGGCCUUUGUCCUAUGCUCAUGUGAAUCUCCUUCAACGAGUCGAGUUGUUUGGGAAUGCAGCUCUAAAUGGGUGGUAAAUUCCAUCUAAAGCUAAAUACUGGCAAGAGACCGAUAGCGCACAAGUAGAGUGAUCGAAAGAUGAAAAGAUCUCUGAACAGAGAGUUAAAUAGUACGUGAAAUUGUUGAAAGGGAAGCACUUGCUACCAGACACACUUGCAAUUAAUCAACCUCCAUUUUUGGUGGUGCACUUGGUUGUAGGUGGGUCAGCAUCAGUUAUAGCGGUAGGAAAAAGACUGUGGGAAUGUGGCUUCUCCUGGGAAGUGUUAUAGCCCAAAGUGUAAUGCUGCCUGCUGUGACUGAGGACCGCGCUUCGGUGAGGAUGCUGGCAUAAUGGUUGUAAGUGACCCGUCUUGAAACACGG
rnacentral:rRNA from 1 species